rnacentral:rRNA from 1 species
ACUUUGGAAAGAGAGUCAAACAGUACGUGAAAUUGUUGAAAGGGAAGCGCUUGCAACCAGACUUGCCCGCGGGUGAUCAGCCGGUAUUCUUACCGGUGCACUCGCCCGUGGUCAGGCCAGCAUCGGUUCGGGCGGCUGGAUAAAGUCCACUGGAAUGUAGCUCCUCUCGGGGAGUGUUAUAGCCAGAGGUGCCAUGCAGCCCGCCCGGACCGAGGACCGCGCUUCGGCUAGGAUGCUGGCGUAAUGGUUGUAAGCGACCCGUCUUGAAACACGGACCAAGGAGUCUAACAUCUAUGCGAGUGUUUGGGUGUCAAACCCAUGCGCGUAAUGAAAGUGAACGGAGGUGGGAACCCUUCAGGGUGCACCAUCGACCGAUCCUGAUGUCUUCGGAUGGAUUUGAGUAAGAGCAUAGCUGUUGGGACCCGAAAGAUGGUGAACUAUGCCUGAAUAGGGUGAAGCCAGAGGAAACUCUGGUGGAGGCUCGCAGCGGUUCUGACGUGCAAAUCGAUCGUCAAAUUUGGGUAUAGGGGCGAAAGACUAAUCGAACCAUCUGCUACUAGAUGGCACACGGGCCACGUGCCCCAGUAGUCCCCGCGCGGCGGGGGCGACAUCGUCGGUCUCUUCGGGAACGCCUCUGGGCUACCCGCAGUGAGCCUCGGGCUCAUCCACAGACUAAGUGACGGUGGCCGUGCCCUGGAGCACGGUUAGGAUAUAGUCGAUUCC